rnacentral:rRNA from 1 species
GAUGAACGCUGGCGGCGUGCCUAAUACAUGCAAGUCGAACGAACAGACGAGGAGCUUGCUCCUCUGACGUUAGCGGCGGAGGGGUGAGUAACACGUGGAUAACCUCCCUAUAAGACUGGGAUAACUUCGGGACACCGGCGCUAAUACCGUAUAAGAUAUUGAACCGCAUGGUUCAAUAGUGAAAUACGGUUUUGCUGUCACUUAUAGAUGCUUCCGCGCCGCAUUAGCUAGUUGGUAGGGUAACGGCCUACCAAGGCGACGAUGCGUAGCCGACCUGAGAGGGGGAUCGGCCGCACUGGAACGUGAACAGGCUCAAUAGGACUAAGGGAGGACGCAGAAGGCAACCUGAGGCAACGGGCGAAAGCAUGACGGAGCAAGCGGACGCGAGUGACAACGGUCUCGGGUGCGUAAAACCCGGUUUUGAGGGAAAAACAGCUUUGUAAUGUAACAUGCACGGCGUGACGGUAACUAAUAAGAAAGCCACGGCUAACUACGUG